CUGGCCUGAAAAGAAGUGUGCUGCUCACAGCACUAUUUUUCAUCCAUCUGGUUGCUGCAGGUGCAUAAGGCUGGUGAAAAUUUUGCAGUGUGCUCGAGUCCUGGUGCACCUGCUGCUAGACCUGUCUGAAAGCCCUGGCAUCGCCUGCCCAGGAGUGUGAAGAAUGACUGAAGCGUUAAAUAAGGACGUGGAAAGUAAACUUAAAGCAACGGAGAAAUGUCUAAAGCAAAGAUGGAUAAAUGUGUCAGAUCAAGCUCUCACACUCAGAUUCAAAUGGUAUGGAUUGAACUAACGACCAGCCAUUCAUGUAGUGAACUUUGUCCUCUUCCUCUAAUAUUCUGGGAAUUGGAAUAUGACCUGGAGCAGCUGAAGCUCAGUCAUAAGAGAGUGAUGACUAAAUGACAACGAGCAGAUGAUGUGUCUCCUAAUGAUCCCAUGGGAAGUAAGCAAACUGGACUAAACAGGAGACUUCCUGUGGACACACGGAUGUCCCACCCGGGUAAAAUCCUCUUUGUGCACGUGGUGCCUACUCCACUGGCACUGUCUUCCCAGAGGAGCUCCUGGAGACCUAAAUCAGGCCUCUAAAGGUUAACCUGCGGGAAGGCAGAGGAUGCCGGGAGGGAAUGACACCCAGCUGGUCUGAGGCUGGUGACGUGGGCUGGUAACCUGAGAGCCUGUUGCACAGUUUCUGUGCCUGGAGUUGCUGUGGGAUCAGAAGGAGCUGGCUGGCUCUGUCCUGGUUUAUGCAAUGCCCAGUCCCCUCGGCCGCACUGCCCUCCUGAGCGGGAGCCUUUUGGCUGUGUCUGAAUUCAAUGUGCAGCGCCUGCUCCCACUAACUCACUGACUGCACGGUGCUAUUCUGCACUGCCCUGCCUGGAUUAUUCGGGAAUAUCUGGGAACAUGUGUUCCUGAACUGUCUGUUAUCAGCAAGUCCAAGAGCUGGGAAGCCCUAGGAAGCUUUCACUGUACUCCAUUUAUUUUUCCAUUCCCUCCCACACACCCUACCACUACACCAGGCAACAACACAGGAUGCAGUAAAAUGGUUCCUAAAAACAUGUCAUCGCUGUCAGUAAGGCUUUUUAAAUUCCUGUUUUAAAAUAUCCCAAACUACAAUUUGGUUUCAAACAGUACCUUCACAGAGGUGCUUAUCCCACAGGAUGACUUGGAGAACCCAUCUGAUUUCAAAUAAAUUCAUGGCUUUCAGAAGGAACAAUUUCCUUUGUUAUCCCAUCUGGGCAGGCAUGUUGUUGUUAUAUAUGGUCAGAAAAUGGAAGUGAAAAUGCAAAAGCUGUGGUACAAAACCUCUUCUUGAUGCCAUUGGCACUUGAAAUGUGCUGCAUCGUGAGGUUUGAUGUUCUGAAAGAACAUUUUUUUUAUCUGCUGAUCCUUUUUUGGCCCAGGUGGAUGAUUCUUAGGUUCUUUCCUGAUGUCUUAAAUAGCAGUGAUAAUGUGCAGCCUAUGGAAAUCUGCAGCAACUGUUAGGUACUCAUUAGUCACUGACACAAAGCUUUGUACAUCAGAAUCUAUCUACAGGUGCCACAGGGAGAAGGCAAGAAAGAAAAAUGUGUCAUACUCUGAGGUAAACAGCUUUAUUCCCUAUUAGUCUGCCAGAGGCUGAAUUAGUAAUUUAUGAAGCACUUUGCCACGGUGAGAUUUGUUUAGUCCACUUAGGAUUUGUUUUUCGCUGUUAACACAGAGCUAAACAACUGAGACUGUGUCUACAUGCACUUCUGCAGAUAGGAGCUUGCUCAGUGCUUGGUGCCUGCCAGCUACAAGCCACAUCACCGGCAGCAUGGCAGUGUUGUUUGCACAGCAUGGAGGGUAGGGCUGAUAUUCCCACAGUUACUCAUCUCUGCACCCCCACUUUUCCACCAGGUGCUGUAGCUGCUUUUGAUUUGUUAGCAGGAUGGCAGGCUCGCUGUCUGCCGAACAGGAAUGUAGUGGUCACACAUGGAGCACUGCCUGGGAGGCCAGGAGGAGGGCUGGUGAUGGGCCUGAGCAGGGUGGGGCUCAUCACAUCUUCAUCCAGCUCUGUGGCAGCGUGGACAAAAUGUGGUUCUUCUGCCUAGGGAAUACAUCUGUGGGAAUAUAGGUUUUUUCCCAUUUUUAACACACCCUAUUUCUUAUUAAGAUUUGAGAAAAGUAGAAGUCCAUAAUGUUAAGACCACCAACAAACUUUCAGGAAAAAGCAGACAUUGCCCCAGGAAAAAAAAAAAAAGGGAAUAUAGAAAAGAAACACAAAUCCCUAUUAC